rnacentral:tRNA from 1 species
GCGGAUGUGGUGGAAUGGCAGACACGCCAGCCUUAGGAGCUGGUGCUUCGGCGUAGGGGUUCGAGUCCCCUCAUCCGUACCA